rnacentral:rRNA from 1 species
UACGUAGGCAGCAAGCGUUGUUCGGAGUUACUGGGCGUAAAGGGUGCGUAGGCGGCCUUAUAAGUAUGGUGUGAAAUCUCCCGGCUUAACUGGGAGGGUGCGCUAUAGACUGUGGGGCUAGAGUGUGGGAGAGGAAAGUGGAAUUCCUGGUGUAGCGGUGAAAUGCGUAGAUAUCAGGAGGAACACCUGUGGCGAAAGCGGCUCACUGGACCAUAACUGACGCUGAUGCACGAAAGCUAGGGGAGCAAACAGG